rnacentral:lncRNA from 1 species
GUCAGGGUCCACCCUUCCCAGUCCUCAUUUAAGGGUUGGCAGUGGAGGUGAGGGUAUUUUGCUGGAGAUCCUUGUUUACCUGAGGUAUUGUGAAGGAAGGAAUUCUGGGGUGAUUAUUGCUGCUUCUACUUUCUGAAGUGAGAUAGAUUGUAAAGCAGGUACAUCAAAGGCAGACGUCUCUAGAGUGCCAAAGAAGAAUGUAAAGCUGGGUUGUGCUGUUUCUCAGUCCUGUGUGGAACACUGGGCUGUUUCCAACCCUCUACAGAUUUCUUCCUGGAGUGGGCAACUUCAGCUGCUUCAGCAUGCCGCCAGGCAAGCCAAGAUUUUGGGCUCCUGAAAUUCUUGGAAUGAAGUUUUUAUUCAUAACCCAACCCAGUACAGAAGACUAGACAAACUUCCUCAAUUUGCACAGCUUAAGCAGGUUCCCUUAAAGUGUCACUUUACUUUUGUGUUGUAAAGUUGAAAGAUUUGCUUACGUUUAAAAUAUACACAUGGUGCUUUGCUUGUCUGUGUAAUACAAGUUUGUAGUAAACUUACUCUAAGUAAAUAGUUUCUGAUAUACAUGAUAUGCUAAAGAUAUUUUUGUUACUAUAGGAAAUCAGGCUUUACUCCAAGAAGUUUAAUAUUUUUAUUUCUCUG